CCUACGGGUGGCAGCAGUGAGGAAUAUUGGUCAAUGGACGAGAGUCUGAACCAGCCAAGCCGCGUGAGGGAUGAAGGCACUAUGUGUCGUAAACCUCUUUUGUACGGGAAUAAAACCGGCGACGUGUCGCCGUUUGAGUGUACCGUAAGAAUAAGCAUCGGCUAAGUCCGUGCCAGCAGCCGCGGUAAUACGGAGGAUGCGAGCGUUAUCCGGUUUUAUUGGGUUUAAAGGGUGCGCAGGCGGUCGGUCAAGUCAGCGGUAAAAUCCCGGGGCUCAGCCCCGGACCGCAGUUGAAACUGUCAGUAUUGAGUGGAGUAGAGGUAUGCGGAAUGCGUGGUGUAGCGGUGAAAUGCAUAGAUAUCACGAAGAACUCCGAUUGCGAAGGCAGCAUGCCG
rnacentral:rRNA from 1 species